rnacentral:rRNA from 1 species
ACUCANUNCCCNCGUUUUUUCUAUCUCCNAAUACUUUAUACUNAAGUUGUGCAUGUAAAAAGUCUCGGUGUGUAUNUCUGGCGGUGUCGCGCUGNCCNGUCUCUGUAGGGCGCGNNCUGUUGGUUUAUCCUGUCAUCCUUGGGGAGAGCGGUUCUUUCUUUNAGCUGUCGGUUUCGGCUUCCCUAUCUUUCACUGGUAAAAAAUUAGAGUGUUAAAGGCACGCUUUGUCCUUGAUUACAUUAGCAUGUAAUAAUAAGUUACGACACUUGUUUGUCUUUUUUUGUUGUUUUGCACGCCAAGGUAUAUGAUAUAUAUGGGAUAGUAUGGGGGUAUUCUUAGUUCAAUUGUUCUGAGGUGAAAUUCUGUGAUUUAUGAAAAUCGUACUACUGCGAACGCAUUUACCAAGGAUGUUUUCAUUAAUCAUGAACGAAUGUUAGUGGAUCGAUGGUGAUUAGAUCCCAUCGUAGUCUUAACCAUAAACUAUCCCGACUAGGGAUCGGUGGGUUCUUUUUUAGCCCUCAUCGUCACCUUAUGAGAAAUUAAAGUUUUUGGGUUCCGGGGGGAGUAUGAUCGUUAGGAUGAUACUUAAUGAAAUUGACGGAAGGGCACCACCAGGAGUGGUACUGCGGCUUUAUUUGUUUCAACACGGGAAACUUACCAGGUCCAGACAUAGUAAGGAUUGACAGAUUGAGAGCUCUUUUUUGAUUCUAUGGGUGGUGGUGCAUGGUCCGUUCUUAGUUGGUGGUAGUGAUUUGUCUGGUAUAUACCGUUAACGAAGCGAGACCCCCGCCUGCUUAAAUAGUAAUGGGAAUGCUUAGCAUUGUCAGAGACUUCUUAGAGGGACUUUCGGCGCUAGGCCGAAGGAAGUUGGGGCAAUAACAGGUCUGUGAUGCCCAAGGCGAAUUCGUUAAACCU